rnacentral:rRNA from 1 species
UACGGAGGGUGCAAGCGUUAUCCGGAUUCACUGGGUUUAAAGGGUGCGUAGGCGGGUAUGUAAGUCAGUGGUGAAAUCCCCGAGCUUAACUCGGGAACUGCCAUUGAUACUAUAUAUCUUGAAUAUUCUGGAGGUAUGCGGAAUAUGUCAUGUAGCGGUGAAAUGCUUAGAGAUGACAUAGAACACCUAUUGCGAAGGCAGCAUACUACGGAAAGAUUGACGCUGAGGCACGAAAAGUGUGGGGGAUCAAAACAGG